UGGCUCAGGACGAACGCNGGCGGCGUGCUUAACACAUGCAAGUCGAGCGGAAAGGCUCCUUCGGGGGUACUCGAGCGGCGAACGGGUGAGUAACACGUGAGUAAUCUGCCUCUGNCUUCGGGAUAGCCCUNCGAAAGGGGGAUUAAUACCGGAUAUGACCUGUCACUGCAUGGUGGUGGGUGGAAAGUUUUUUCGGCCAGGGAUGUGCUCGCGGCNUAUCAGCUUGAUGGUGAGGUAAUGGCUCACCAUGGCUUCGACGGGUAGCCGGCCUGAGAGGGUGACCGUUCACACUGGGACUGAGACACGGCCCAGACUCCUACGGGAGGCAGCAGUGGGGAAUAUUGGACAGUGGGCGGAAGCCUGAUCCAGCAACGCCGCGUGAGGGAUGACUGCCUUCGGGUUGUAAACCUCUUCCAGUACCGACGAAGCGAAAGUGACGGUAGGUACAGAAGAAGCACCGGCCAACUACGUGCCAGCAGCCGCGGUAAUACGUAGGGUGCGAGCGUUGUCCGGAAUUAUUGGGCGUAAAGGGCUCGUAGGCGGUUUGUCGCGUCGGGAGUGAAAACCUCAUGCUUAACAUGUGGCUUGCUUUCGAUACGGGCAGACUAGAGGUAUGCAGGGGAGAACGGAAUUCCUGGUGUAGCGGUGAAAUGCGCAGAUAUCAGGAGGAACACCGGUGGCGAAGGCGGUUCUCUGGGCAUUACCUGACGCUGAGGAGCGAAAGUGUGGGGAGCGAACAGGAUUAGAUACCCUGGUAGUCCACACCGUAACCGAUGAAUACUAGGUGUAGGGGUUGUCAUGACCUCUGUGCCGCCGCUAACGCAUUAAGUAUUCCGCCUGGGGAGUACGGUCGCAAGAUUAAAACUCAA
rnacentral:rRNA from 1 species